rnacentral:lncRNA from 1 species
UGACAAUGACACACAGCCCAGGGAUAGGUGACAAUGACACACAGCCCAGGGGCAGGUGAUGGUGACACAAAGAGUGAGGGGCAGGUGAUGGUGAUACAAAGACCAAGGACCAGGUGACAAUGACACAAGGGCACAGGUCAGGGCACAGGUCGGGGCGCAGGUCGGGGCAGUGGCGGCGGGCAGAGCGUCCCGGGGUGUCUCUCCCCGGCGCGGCCGCAGCUUCACGAUCCCUCCCCGCCCUUGCUGGGCACUUCUGGCUGCUCCACAAAGCAAUCCCGGCAUCGCCAUCGGAACAAAAACACAACAACGCUAAUCCCAGUUUAAAUGGCCGGCGAGCUCCCUGCAGGCAAAGCUCUGCCAAAACGGUUAUCCACCUCCUUUUCCUUCCUGGAGUUUUUUUGUUUGGUGUUUGUUUUAUUUUGUUUUAUUUUUAAAUUCAGAUUUAACCUUUUGUGCCUGGGCUUGUCGGCUCGGAAACAUUUCCCACGCUGCUGGGAAUGCGAUUCCCAGGGCAGGGAGGGCCAGGGCUGCUGCUGAAGUGUCCCAUAGAGCUCAGAAAUUUCCUGUUUUUUGGAGGAGUGUGGCCAGGCAGAAGUGAAAACUCAAUUUUUCUGCAGGCAGAGCUUCAAAGGGAAAGGGAGCACAUUCUGCAUGUUCUGCCUGGAAAAUGUUUAACUGAAACAUUGCAGCACUUGUGAAAUGAAUGGUGGCGUUUAGAAGCUGUCAAAACAACAACAACAAAAAAAGCUUCAAUCCCUCUCUCCAGCGGCGGCGGCAGCAGCGAGACAUGGCCGACAGCAGCUGAUCCCGCUCCGAUCCUGCCCCGGCUCCCGGCGCUCGCCAAGGUACGCUCGGCGGUCGCCCAAACCCUUCCCCGCGGGUCCCGGGGUGUCCCUGAGCCGCGGAGCCUCGGCACGGCUCCCUCCGGCACCCCGCGGGAGCGCUCCUGAACCCCACGGAAUAUGGGAUCAUUCCCGGAGCCUUCACCUCUCCCUGCGUCCCACGGGAGCGUUCCUGCAUCCCACGGGAUCAUUCCCGAAUCCCACGGGAUCAUUCCCGAAUCCCUCACCUCUCCCUGCAUCCUACGGGAUCAUUCCCGAAUCCCACAGGAUCAUUCCCGAAUCCCACAGGAUCAUUCCCAAAUCCCACGGGACCAUUCCUGAAUCCUAUGGAAUAAUUCCUGCACCCCAUGGUAUCAUUCCUGAACCCCUCACCUCUCCCUGCAUCCCAUGGGAUCAUCCCUGCAUCCCGCACCUCUCCCCGCAUCCCACGGGACCCUCCCCGCAUCCCACGGGAUCAUUCCUGCACCCCAUGGAAUCAUUCCUGAAUCCCAUGGGAUCAUCCCUACAUCCCUCACCUCUCCCCGCACCCCUCAGGACCCUCCCCGCACCCCUCAGGACCCUCCCCUCCCUCCCGGCAGGGCCCCGAGCCCCGGACCCGCUCCCCGGAGGAUUCCAGCCCAGCCCGGCGGUGCCAGGAGCGCUCCGGGGCCGCUCCCAGCCCCCCCGAGCUGAGCCCCGGAGCCCUCGGGGGGCUGCGAGCGGCUCCGAGCCCGCCUGGGUGGGGGUUUUGUUUAUCCUAGCCAGCUGUGGCGAUAAGGGGGGCUGGGUGAGGAUUUUUGUUUUUCCCAGCCAGCUGUGGCGAUAAGGGGGGCUGGGUGAGGAUUUUUGUUUUUCCCAGCCAGCUGUGGCGAUAAGAGGAGCUGGAAUUUCGCAGUUCCAGCCUCUCCACGAUCCCGGCGCUGCCCGGGGCUGGGGACGCGUGGCUGUGCUGCAGCCAAGGUCACACAAGGUUUCCCAGCUGGGCUUUGCCAAGCCCGAGUUCCCAGCCUGGAGGAGCCCAGGCUCCACCGGGACGGGGGGGGUGACACUCGGGCAGUGUUGGGGACCGGGGGGUGACACUCGGGCAGUGUUGGGGACCGGGGGGUGACACUCGGGCAGUGUUGGGGACCGGGGGGUGACACUCGGGCAGUGUUGGGGACCGGGGGGUGACACUCGGGCAGUGUUGGGGACCGGGGGGUGACACUCGGGCAGUGUUGGGGACCGGGGGGUGACACUCGGGCAGUGUUGGGGACCGGGGGGUGACACUCGGGCAGUGUUGGGGACCGGGGGGUGACACUCGGGCAGUGUUGGGGACCGGGGGGUGACACUCGGGCAGUGUUGGGGACCGGGGGGUGACACUCGGGCAGUGUUGGGGACCGGGGGGUGACACUCGGGCAGUGUUGGGGACCGGGGGGUGACACUCGGGCAGUGUUGGGGACCGGGGGGUGACACUCGGGCAGUGUUGGGGACCGGGGGGUGACACUCGGGCAGUGUUGGGGACCGGGGGGUGACACUCGGGCAGUGUUGGGGACCGGGGGGUGACACUCGGGCAGUGUUGGGGACCGGGGGGUGACACUCGGGCAGUGUUGGGGACCGGGGGGUGACACUCGGGCAGUGUUG